CCUCUUCGAUCUGCUGCGGGCAGAUGAAGUGGAUAUGGGUGUCGAUGCCCCCGGCGGUGAGGAUCAUGCCUUCGCCGGCGAUGACUUCGGUGCUGGCACCGAUGGCGAUGGUCACAUCGGGCUGGAUNGCGCCCGUCCUUCAAGCCGACAUCGGCCUUGACGAUGCCCCAGUGAUCGAUGAUCAGCGCGUUGGUGAUCAAGGUGUCCACCACCUCGGCCGCCAGCAGCUGGCCCUGGCCCAUGCCGUCGCGG
rnacentral:sRNA from 1 species